AUCCCCACGCAAAACCCUGUCACUGUAAAUUGAUUUCGAUUCAUAGCUCUUGUCACAAAAGCCACUGAAAUUUCUUUCGACAAAUUCUCCAAUGGCUACAAGAAAGCUGGUCCGGGAUAUUUUUUUCUCCAAGCAGCCGCUUUAUCGGAAAGUGUUAGCUUACAAACAGGUUUCAACCGCAGCUCCGAGGCUAAGGUUACUUGGUGCUGCAAAUGGGAACUCAACGUCUCGUGAAUUCAGUGUGUUUAAUGAGUUUUCUAAAAAGAUUAAAGGCGAAGUGAACAGAAAUCAGGAGUUUCAACAGUCGGUAAAAGAAUUUAAGGAGAAGACUGAAGAGCUGAAAGGGGUGAAAGAAGAUCUAAAAGUUAGAACGAAGCAGAAAACAGAGCAGCUUUACAAGCAUGUGGAUGGUGCAUGGACAGAAGCCGAAGCUACAGCAAAGAAGGUAUCCGAGAAUCUUAAGGAAAAGGUUUCAGCUGCUAAAGAGGAGGUGAAAGAAACUUUAGGAAUUGGGAAGCAGGAAUCCUCGGAAUCCUCCAGUUCUUCAUCUAAUGAGGGUUCUGCAGGGAAAGAUGAUAAGGAUCAUAAGCAGUCUGCUGAUGGAGAAUAUAAGAAACAACAAUCUGGGUUUGGUGACACAACAGAAACAAUAUUUAGCAAGUUCCGGUCUGGUGUUUCUUCUGUAUUUCCCAAGGUUUCGUCUUCCUUUCAAACGGCCAAGGACGCAAAGGUCCUUGACUUGGCGAAAAAGGGUUAUGACAUUGUGAAGGAUGAGUUGAGUGGUAGCUCAAGUAAGAGGAAACGGGCCAAAGCUGCUUCUGCUGCUUCCCAAGCUAAUGUCGAAAGAAGUACUAGAACAGAUAUUGCUGUUGUACCUGUAAAGCAGUCACGAUUUAACAAGAAGUGGGAGGCGUUCAAGGCUAAAAUGCAAGGUCAUCCAGUAUUCAAGCGAGUCAGUGGCUUUAGUGAACCCGUUGUGACGAAGAGCCAGGAGAUUGCAGAAGAUAUGCGGGAAAGAUGGGAGACUAGUGAUCAUCCUGUAGUUCACAAAAUUCAGGAUAUCAAUGAAAGCGUUUUUAGAGAGACAGAUGCGGCAAUGUCAUUUAAGGAAAUUCGUCGCCGUGACCCGUAUUUUUCUUUACCUGACUUUGUAUCUGAUGUGCAAGAAAUUGUGAAACCAGUUCUCAAGGCCUACACUAAAGGAGAGACUGAAGUAUUGGAGAAAUAUUGUUCACCUGAAAUAAUUGAGCGGUGUAAAGCAGAGCAUAGGGUUUGUGAGAUGCAGGGCACCUUUUAUGAUAACAAGAUAUUGCAUAUAUCUGAAGUUGAUGUAAGAGAGACCAAAAUGAUGGGUGACAGCCCCUUGAUUAUUGUUGGGUUUCAAACACAACAGGUGUAUUGUGUAAGAGAUAGACUUGGUGAAAUAACAGAAGGUGGCAAGGAUACGAUCCACACGGUCCAUUACUUAUGGGCUAUGCAACUUGCGGAGGCAGAAGAAGGUUCAGAAGAAGCACAUAUGCCACUGUGGAAGCUUAGAGAUAUGCAACAAGUUGGCAUCCGAGCGCUCAUAUGAUCAUAGAAUGGCUUUCAAUGUAUCUCCUAAGCUUUCUUAAGCUUUCCGGUACGGAUUUUGCAGAAUGUAUCUCCUAAGCUUUCCGGAGCUCAAGAAAAGACGAAUCGAUGGAUCAUUGUCAACUUGGUUAUAAGCUUAUUCUCUUUGGCAACUUAGGAAUGCUUGCAUCUUCAAGAGACGAAAUUCUCACGGUAAUCUUUCCGUUGACAUCCAGUUUAAAUCCUUUGAGUAGAUUGCUUCAAGACUCUAAGAUCGGUCUAUUUGGAAGACGGGUUGGUUUAAUUACCCUUCUUUUGCUACUUCUUGAGGUUCUGCUGUUGUUUCCCUCGUUAAAUCCCUCUUUUUUGUCUUGUUUUUUAGCUGGUUAUUUCUUGUAAAGUUUGACUCAGUAAUAUUUCCUUUU